GAGGCCGCGUCCCAUUAGCUUGUUGGUGAGGUAACGGCUCACCAAGGCCGCGAUGGGUAGCUGAUCUGAGAGGAUGAUCAGCCACACUGGAACUGGAACACGGUCCAGACUCCUACGGGAGACAGCAGUUGGGAAUCUUGGACAAUGGGGGAAACCCUGAUCCAGCCAUGCCGCGUGAGUGAUGAAGGCCUUCGGGUUGUAAAACUCUUUCGACGGGGACGAUAAUGACGGUACCCGUAGAAGAAGCUCCGGCUAACUUCGUGCCAGCAGCCGCGGUAAUACGAAGGGGGCUAGCGUUGUUCGGAAUUACUGGGCGUAAAGCGCGCGCAGGCGGUCUUCCAAGUCAGUGGUGAAAGCCCGGAGCUCAACUCCGGAACUGCCAUUGAAACUGUUAGACUUGAGGACGAGAGAGGUGAGUGGAAUUCCCAGUGUAGAGGUGAAAUUCGUAGAUAUUGGGAAGAACACCGGUGGCGAAGGCGGCUCACUGGCUCGUAUCUGACGCUCAGGCGCGAU
rnacentral:rRNA from 1 species